CCUGCCCCUAGAGGUGUUGCAGAUGUGGCUGCUGUGUCACUUGUGCAUCAGUAGGUGACAGAGAGGAGAGAGGCUAUGUCUGUGCUCAGUGUUUUGACCUGUGAGCAUCUGAAUGGCAGUAGCCUAACAUU